rnacentral:rRNA from 1 species
UAAGGAAUAUUGGACAAUGGAGGCAACUCUGAUCCAGCCAUGCCGCGUGAAGGAAUAAGGCCCUAUGGGCUGUAAACUUCUUUUAGACGGGACAAAACCCCUUUACGUGUAAAGGGUUGAUGGUACUGUCAGAAUAAGCAUCGGCUAACUUCGUGCCAGCAGCCGCGGUAAUACGAAGGAUGCAAGCGUUAUCCGGAAUUAUUGGGUUUAAAGGGUGCGUAGGCGGACUAAUAAGUCAGUGGUGAAAGCCUGCAGCUUAACUGCAGAAUUGCCAUUGAUACUGUUAGUCUUGAGUACAGUUGAGGUAGGCGGAAUGUGUCAUGUAGCGGUGAAAUGCUUAGAUAUGACACAGAACACCGAUUGCGAAGGCAGCUUGCUAAGCUGUAACUGACGCUGAGGCACGAAAGCGUGGGGAGCAAACA